rnacentral:rRNA from 1 species
UACAGAGGUCCCAAGCGUUGUUCGGAUUCAUUGGGUUUAAAGGGUCCGUAGGCGGUUUGGUAAGUCAGUGGUGAAAGCCCAUCGCUCAACGGUGGAACGGCCAUUGAUACUGCCAGACUUGAAUUAUUAGGAAGUAACUAGAAUAUGUAGUGUAGCGGUGAAAUGCUUAGAGAUUACAUGGAAUACCAAUUGCGAAGGCAGGUUACUACUAAUGGAUUGACGCUGAUGGACGAAAGCGUGGGUAGCGAACAGG